AAGUCGUAACAAGGUCUCCGUUGGUGAACCAGCGGAGGGAUCAUUACAGAGUUGCAAAACUCCCAAACCAUCGUGAACGUUACCUAUAUCGUUGCUUCGGCGGGUGGCUCGGCCUCGGCCCUGCCCUAGGCCCCUCUCGGGGGCCCGCCGGAGGUCUACCAAACUCUUGAAUUUACAUGGCCUCUCUGAGUCUUCUGUACUGAAUAAGUCAAAACUUUCAACAACGGAUCUCUUGGUUCUGGCAUCGAUGAAGAACGCAGCGAAAUGCGAUAAGUAAUGUGAAUUGCAGAAUUCAGUGAAUCAUCGAAUCUUUGAACGCACAUUGCGCCCGCCAGUAUUCUGGCGGGCAUGCCUGUCCGAGCGUCAUUUCAACCAUCAAGCCCCCGGCUUGUGUUGGGGACCUGCGGCACACCCGCAGGCCCUGAAAACCAGUGGCGGGCUCGCUGUCCACACCGAGCGUAGUAGCAUAUCUUUGUCUCGCUCAGGGCGUGCGGCGGGUUCCGGCCGUGAAACCCACCUUCUCGAAGGUACCCAAAGGUUGACCUCGGAUCAGGUAGGAAGACCCGCUGAACUUAA
rnacentral:rRNA from 1 species